GCCGAAGUGGCGGAACUGGCAGACGCAGCGGACUCAAAAUCCGCCGUGGUUCACCCCACAUGUGGGUUCGACUCCCACCUUCGGCACCA
rnacentral:tRNA from 2 species